AAGCGAAAUGCAUUUCACGAGGUCGAGACAAGAUCGACGCGUCUGAAAAGACCACGGUACUCCCUG
rnacentral:sRNA from 1 species